rnacentral:rRNA from 1 species
UUGACUGGAAGUGGUUCCAAGAAAAGCCUCUAAGCUUCAGCUGUACGAGACCGUACCGCAAACCGACACAGGUGGACGGGAUGAAUAUUCCAAGGCGCUUGAGAGAACUCGGGAGAAGGAACUCGGCAAAUUGAUACCGUAACUUCGGGAGAAGGUAUGCCCCGGUAGUGUGAGGCGCCUGCGCGCUGAGCAUGAUGGGUCGCAGAGAAUCGGUGGCUGCGACUGUUUAUUAAAAACACAGCACUCUGCAAAGACGAAAGUCGACGUAUAGGGUGUGACGCCUGCCCGGUGCCGGAAGGUUAAGUGAUGGGGUGCAAGCUCUUGAUCGAAGCCCCGGUAAACGGCGGCCGUAACGAUAACGGUCCUAAGGUAGCGAAAUUCCUUGUCGGGUAAGUUCCGACCUGCACGAAUGGCGUAACGAUGGCCACACUGUCUCCUCCCGAGACUCAGCGAAGUUGAAGUGUUUGUGAUGAUGCAAUCUACCCGCGGCUAGACGGAAAGACCCCAUGAACCUUUACUGUAGCUUUGCAUUGGACUGUGAACCGGCCUGUGUAGGAUAGGUGGGAGGCGCUGAAACCGAGUCGCUAGAUUCGGUGGAGCCAACCUUGAAAUACCACCCUGGUUUGUUUGCGGUUCUAACCUUGGUCCGUUAUCCGGAUUGGGGACAGUGCAUGGUGGGCAGUUUGACUGGGGCGGUCUCCUCCCAAAGCGUAACGGAGGAGUUCGAAGGUACGCUAGGUACGGUCGGAAAUCGUGCUGAUAGUGCAAUGGCAUAAGCGUACUUGACUGUGAGACUGACAAGUCGAACAGGUGCGAAAGCAGGACAUAGUGAUCCGGUGGUUCUGAAUGGAAGGGCCAUCGCUCAACGGAUAAAAGGUACUCUGGGGAUAACAGGCUGAUACCGCCCAAGAGUUCAUAUCGACGGCGGUGUUUGGCACCUCGAUGUCGGCUCAUCUCAUCCUGGGGCUGUAGCCGGUCCCAAGGGUAUGGCUGUUCGCCAUUUAAAGAGGUACGUGAGCUGGGUUUAAAACGUCGUGAGACAGUUUGGUCCCUAUCUGCCGUGGGCGUUGGAUACUUGACGGAGCCUGCUCCUAGUACGAGAGGACCGGAGUGGACGUACCUCUGGUGUACCGGUUGUCAUGCCAAUGGCAUUGCCGGGUAGCUAUGUACGGAAGAGAUAACCGCUGAAGGCAUCUAAGCGGGAAACUCGUCUGAAGAUUAGGUAUCCCGGGGCCUCGAGCCCCCUGAAGGGUCGUUCAAGACCAGGACGUUGAUAGGUCAGGUGUGGAAGCGCAGUAAUGCGUUAAGCUAACUGAUACUAAUUGCCCGUGAGGCUUGAUCCG